AAAUUGAAUACUUAUUUUUUAAAUUUAUUAAAUUAUUCAUGUGAAUUUGAACAUCAUAAUAAUUACGUAGGUACAUUUUUUACAAUAAUGUAACAAGAAGAAUUAAAAUCCAUUGAAAAGAAAAUCCAAACACAUACUCUACAACUACUACUACGUGCACUGAUGUUUCAUACCAAUAAUAUAACACAUAAUAAGAAUGCUGUGACGUAGGCAUAAGUAGGUAUUAGGAUAUCGAUCACUGAUAUAUUAUAUUUAACAUAACACACAAUAAGGAUACUACGACGUAGAAAUAAACACUUACAUGUAAUGGGGAAGUAUCUAUAUAUCUGGGCGGUAACAUAUUAGGCCUAAACACUACAAACAAUAAUAAUAGGAGAGUCAAAACUACCUAUGACUUUAACCUUCGAAACUGGGAGAUGAACGAACUCUGCAACACACUAUAGGCAUAGAUAUUAUAAGAUCUUAUAUUAUCUAUGACUAUAGGCCUAUAGUAAUAAUCGAUAAUCAUAAUCAUACUUUGAAUCCUGAAAAUCUCGAUCGCGGUUGACCACCCGUGCACGGGCAAGCCUCACCAGAUGUCAUAUCUGGUGGUCAUUAUCAUGUCAAUUAUCAAGAUAAUUGGGAAAACUUGAUAAUAAGGUAUUGACACAUAAUAUCAACUUAGAUCGAAUAAAUAAGCUAGAUAGUAUCUAGUUAUCGAUACUUCAGAUAUUUUAGUUACAAAAUUCAUUCUUAAAGAACUUGGAUCUAAUCGACCUUCAAUUGAAGAAAUAGAAGAUUCCACUUAAAAAAUGAAGAAAGUUGAGAAGGCUACAGAACCCUCUUCAUUGUGUUAAGAAAAUAAAAUGAUUUUUUUUCUUUUGUUUAAAUGUUUUUGUAAAAAUAAUUUGAUCUAAAAUAUAAAAGAUUUCUAUAACAUCA